rnacentral:rRNA from 1 species
ACGGAGGCAGCAGUAGGGAAUAUUGCACAAUGGGGGAAACCCUGAUGCAGCAACGCCACGUGUGGGAAGAAGCAUUUCGGUGUGUAAACCACUGUCGUGAGGGAAUAAUGCUUGGUUUCGGCCAAGUUGAAUGUACCUCGAAAGGAAGCACCGGCAAACUUCGUGCCAGCAGCCGCGGUAAUACGAGGGGUGCAAGCGUUGUUCGGAAUCACUGGGCGUAAAGGGAGCACAGGCGGAGAUGCAAGCAGUCUGUACAAUACCGGGGCCCAACCCCGGACCUGCAGACUGGACUGUUUCUCUUGGAUAGUUCAGGGGCAAGCGGAAUUCCUGGUGUAGCGGUGGAAUGCGUAGAGAUCAGGAAGAACACCGAUGGCGAAGGCAGCCAGCUGGGGGCUUAUCGACGCUCAUGCUCGAAAGUGCGGGUAGCAAACAGGAUUAGAUACCCUGGUA